UUGGCUACACCAAAGUGCCAAGGUGGUAUGGGGUUUCGUGACCCCCAUCCGUUCAAUCUUGCGCUACUCGGGAAGCACGUUUGGCGCUUUAUGACUAACCCUAAUUCUCUGUGCGCAAGGCUAAUGAAAGGUCGCUACUUUCCUGACACAGAUUUCUUGCAUGCUUCUAUCCCCAAAUCAGUGUCAGCUACUUGGCGAGCUAUUAUUGCUGGCAGAGAAGCUUUGCAAGUGGGCCUUAUCAAAAGAGUGGGAGACAGGAGCUCCAUUGAUGUGUGGACUGAUAAGUGGAUUCCCGGGACCAUAUCUAUGAAACCUUUGCUGAAGCCUCAAAACACUAAUGUUCAGACAGUCUCGGAUCACAUCGAUACUGAAAACUGGUCGUGGAGGCAGGAAUUGAUCAGGACAACCUUCAUCGCCCCGGAUGCUGAUGCCACUCUUAAUAUCCCAAUCAGGAGAGGGGGAGGAGAGGAUUUUUAUGCUUGGGCCUUUGAACGACCAGGCAACUACACUGUUAAAUCUGUGUACCGUGCUCUAGUGACUCAGAACGAGCGCAUUGCUCUAGAGGAAGGGACGGCUACCGGUGCUUCAAGAGAUGAUAAACAGAUAUGGACGGCCUUGUGGAAACUCAAAGUGAUCCCAAAGGUACGAGCGUUCUGGUGGAGGGUACUGAGAGGGAUCCUACCAGAUGAAUGCACUCGAAAGUAUCGCCAUAUUGCAGUCUUAGACACUUGCAAAAUUUGCUUGGCAAGAGAGGAGGAUCUCAUGCAUGCGCUCAUUCAAUGCUCUCAUGCACGACAUUUCUAG
rnacentral:rRNA from 1 species